rnacentral:sRNA from 1 species
GAGCAGCGUUCCGCCGCCGGGCGCUCAAAAGCCUUUUCGAAUUGUUAUUCCGCGGCCAGCGGCAGAUAGGCGCCGAAAUCCUCGACGUGCCGCGCGAGCGCCGCGAUGAAGGUUGCGAGGUCGGCCUCGAGAGCUGCGAAUCCCGGCUUUUUGAUCAGGGUUGCCUCGUCGACAUAGAGGCCGCGGUUGAUUUCGAUCUGCAACGCAUGCAGUCCGCGCGUCGGACGGCCAUAAUGUUCCGUGAUGAAGCCGCCGGCAUAGGGCUUGUUGCGCGCGACCGCAUAGCCGAGUUGCUCCAGAAGCUCCACCGCCACCCGGGACAGUUCCGCCGCCGCGCUCGUUCCGUAGCGGUCGCCGAUAAUGAAGUCCGGGCGAUGGCCGCUUCCCGGCAGAUGCACGUUGCCCGGCAUCGAGUGGCAGUCGAUGAGGAUCGACAUCCCGAACUCGACAUGGGUGCGGGCGAUCAGCUUUCUGAGCGUCGCAUGAUAGGGCUUGUAGAUCGUCUCGAUGCGCUCGAGCGCCUGCUCGACCGGAAAACGGCCACGAUAUAUUUCCAUAUUCUCGGCGACGAGGCGCGGCACGGUGCCGAGGCCGCCGGCGACGCGCAUCGAACUGAUAUUGGCGUGCGGCGGCAAGGCGCCGUCGAACAUGCGCGGGUCGAGUUCGUAGGGUUCGCGGUUUACGUCCAGGAAGGCACGCGGGAAAUGCGCCCGGAGCAAGGGCGCCCCCAGAAACGUGGCGCUGCGGAACAGUUCAUCGACGAAAUGGUCUUCGGAACGGCGAAUGGAAUGCGGAUCGAGGCGCGACUGGUCGAGAAAGAACUGGGGAUAAUGCCGGCCGCUGUGCGGGGAGUUGAAAACGAAAGGUAUCCUCUGGCUUGCGGGUUCCAGAACCUCGAAAAACUCCCACUCAACCGCUUCCCCCAUCGGAACCCUUUUUA